rnacentral:rRNA from 1 species
UACGUAGGGGGCAAGCGUUGUCCGGAAUCAUUGGGCGUAAAGCGCGCGCAGGCGGCGAUCUACGUCCGGGGUGAAAGCCCAGAGCUCAACUCUGGGACUGCCUUGGAUACGGGAUCGCUUGAGGAUCGGAGAGGCAAGGGGAAUUCCACGUGUAGCGGUGAAAUGCGUAGAGAUGUGGAGGAACACCUGUGGCGAAGGCGCCUUGCUGGCCGAUUUCUGACGCUGAGGCGCGAAAGCGUGGGGAGCAAACAGG